AUUCUACAAAUUUAAGGGCACAAUUUCCCUAAAGAUCUGCUGCCUCAUAUUAGAUGGCCACCCACAUGUUUGGGAAGGUGAGUAAUCUGUUUAUAGUUCCAGUUGACUAGGAAGGCACUUAAUAGUCUCCCACAGGCACUUAAAGUAGAAUGACUAGCAAGAAACUCCAGGAAGCCCUACACAAAAGAUUACAGUUUCAUCAUAAAGACUAUAUAUUGGAAUAGCGGCCAGACGAAAACCUGAAUGAAAGAGAAGAAUACAAAGAAAAAAACCCACAAUACCAGAUUUGGGAUACUUUCCUAUGCUUUGUUGGUCAGAGAGGUCUCAGAAGCAUCCAAAGCAAUAUGGAUUAUCAUCACUGCUUUUGAUUGGUUGCCCACAAGAACAUGAAGGUAGCUACAUGGUGGCAUCUCCCUGGAGGUUCCUUUCUCUGUGUUCCUAUUCCCUGCAUUUAUUCACCAACCAAUAAGAGAAAUGUUCACAGCACUCGGAAGAACAUCCUCCAUCAGAAGAGUGCAUCCAUUUGAAGUUCAACUUUAAAAAUAAAACAACUUAUAUUUGACUAGACCCUUGCUAUUUGGGCCCAUGGUGGAUUUCUUACAAACCUAUGAGGAUAAUGUGAGACAAUAGAUUUUGUAGGUUUGUAAAUGGCAUAGAAGUGAAGAGAGGAGUGCACUGGGCUGAUCUUCAAAGACAUCUGGUGAAGAUGAACGGAGAGUGUAAGACAAACUUAAAAAAAGAAACUUUUGCUCUACUCUGAAUGGAAAGUACACAGCUCUGCCACCAGUCCACCAUCACUGCACUAAUAUUUUUAAACUGGUGAUGCUAAUAGUUUCCUUUUUUGGCUUUAGAUGAGACUUACAGGUGAUUUUUCUCCUUUGUUUUAGUAAUUUUCCACACUAGAACCUCAUAACUGCUCCAGCAUGGAACAUACUAAAGUAAGAGCAACUCCCUGGGUUCUUGGUCUCUGUAGAGGUGCUGUCUACCUUGGCUCUUUUUAAUAUGUUGCUCACCCUAAUUUAUUUAUUAAUUUAUUCUUUCAAAGUUAUUUUGCCCAUGUUUAAAAUGUAAGUGGGAUGAAUUGCAGUGCUUUUCACCUCCUACCAGUUGAUAAUCCAAUUACUUGCUGCCAAGUGAGAGUCCUUGGCUGCCUGUUGCAGUUAUAAUCUUUGCAAAUGCUAUUUUGAGGCCCAGUUUGACACAGAAGCUGACAAGCUGGAACUCCAAAGGCAAUAUUAAUGUUAAUAUGCUGUCACCUAGAAGAUUCAAUUUGCAUAUAUCUAAGCAAACACAGGCUCUGUCCUGAGAGCUUAUUUUAUUAACAUCUGAAGACUAAGUUUGCUCGCUAAGCCCACUGAGCAGCUUUUCAUUCUGUUCCAAAGUAUUUUUAUUGGGCACUUAAUGUAGCUGUCUUUUGAGAGAUAGAUGAAAACAUAUUUGCAGUGUUCUAAAGGAACUUGUAAGUACUAUAUGUCCAGGUUCUGAAAUGAAUCUGAAUUACUAAAUCUAAUUUUAUUCUUUUGUACUAAUUGGGGAGUUAUGUGAAUUCAUUUAGUUUCUUUAAACCUGAGCUGUCUCUGUAAGCAGAAAUAUUAAUGGCAAUUUGGAGAGUGAUCAAGAGGACUGAAAGACUUAGUCAAUAUCAGUGCUUGCACAUAGUAAUUUCUCAGCAAAUAUUAACUCUGUGUGCUUUCAUUUACACAAGACCUGUAUGUGUCCACACUGAACUGUCCUCAAUCCAAUUAUUUUGGUAUACUCUAUAUAUGGCAGAUAUGUAUGUAUAGGCAAGUUCAUGCAUUUGUUUAUGUGUAAUGCUUGCCUAGAUGACAUAGAAAAGAUAAUACAAUAGCAUUUAUUUGCAAGAAAAUUGUACAAAUUCAAAGGGAGAUUGAUAGUGGGAUAUAAGUACAUAGAAAGAAGUUCCUUUCCAGUUAGAAGUCUUACUAAGAAUUAAUAAUAAAAUCUAGGAGUAAUUCCUGAUAGAGACACUAGGAACAUGUUAUAUGUAGAAUAAUGAUAAGAAAUGAAUUUGGAUCUCUUAUGAUUAAAAAAUAUAUGGCCAUAAUCAUGUAUAAUGUUAAUAGAAGUAUGGGAUCAAAACAUUGUCAUGGAAUACUUGCCUCGUAUGUAAAAAAUGCUCAAAUUCUAUCUCCAGCUCUACAAAAACACACAGACACAACUUGAAUGAUAACACCAAUUUCAAAGAUGACCAUGCCCAAGGUGGCGUAUAUGCAUCAUAGGAUAUUAUUUUGUCACAAAAAGAACAAAACCUUGUCAUUUGUGUCAAAGUAGAUGAACAAAGACAUCACCUUAAGUGAAAUAAGUCAGGAAUAGAAAGAUAAAUUCCACACAUUUCUAGUUAUAAUGUCAGUUAAAGAAAAACAAAGAUCUUUAAGACAUAUAAAGUUGAAUAGUACUUAGCAAUUACUAAAAAGUGUAGAAAAGAUGGGGGUAAAUAGGGGUAGUUAAUGAAUGUAAAAGUACAGUAAGAUAGGACUACUAUUGUUUUGUAGCAUAGUAGGGUAGAAAUUUCUGAAGCCAGAAAUAAUUUAUUGGAUAUUUCAAAAUAUCCAGAAGAAAGAACUUUUACUGUAUUCAAUCCAAAGUAAUAAAAAUUUCUUGAAGAGACAGAUAAACUAUUUAUAUUGAUUUGAUUGUAGCCUAGUACAUACAUGUGCUGAAAUACCAUGCUACAUUUUAUGAACAUGAAUAUUUACUGUGUCAAUAAAUGGUUUGUAAAAUGAAAUGUUUCUCAAUAUUAUGAACUGAAAUUUUAAAUUAUCUUGAAGUAAUGGAAUAUUUUUUACACCAAGCAUUAAAGUACAUGAA